CCUACGGGGGGCUGCAGUGGGGGAUAUUGCACAAUGGAGGGAACUCUGAUGCAGCGACGCCGCGUGAGGGAAGAAGGUUUUCGGAUUGUAAACCUCUGUCUUCGGUGACGAAACGAGACGGUAGCCGAGGAGGAAGCCACGGCUAACUACGUGCCAGCAGCCGCGGUAAUACGUAGGUGGCAAGCGUUGUCCGGAAUUACUGGGUGUAAAGGGAGCGUAGGCGGGAAAGCAAGUUGAAUGUUUAAGGUACGGGCUCAACCUGUACAAGCGUUCAAAACUGUUUUUCUUGAGUACUGGAGAGGCAGACGGAAUUCCUUGUGUAGCGGUGAAAUGCGUAGAUAUAAGGAGGAACACCAGUGGCGAAGGCGGUCUGCUGGACAGCAACUGACGGUGAGGCGCGAAAGCGUGGGGAGCAAACAGGAUUAGAUACCCUGGUAGUC
rnacentral:rRNA from 1 species